AUGAUUGUUCUCCGUCUGGACAUUGCACAAGAACGCCGGCCCCUCACCGAGGGAGAGUUCCACCUACGGAAACUUCUGAAGCUGCGUAUUCUAGGGCUAACGGCGGUAGAAAGAGCUCGGAAGCGCCAGGCAUCUAGGAUAACCUGGCUGCGAGCGGGCAAUGCCCAAACGGCCUUCUUCCAGGCCAAGAUCAGCGCCAGGCGCAUGACAAUUUUCAUCCACUCGCUGCAAGGACCGGCUGGAGUUGCCACAACGCAUGAUGAAAAAGAGGAGCUAAUCCACAAUCACUUCGACCGAUCUUUAGGAGCUAGACAGGGCCGACCCAACACAAUAGAUUGGAGCUACAUCGAGUUGCCAAGGGUACAAGGAGGCGGGCUCGAUAACCCUUUCACCUAACAUGAAGUGUGGCAAGCAAUCAAACAAUCGCCUACGGAAAAAUCCUCUGGGCCAGAUGGCUUCUCCGGCGUCUUCUUCAGAACCUGCUGGCAAACCCUAAAAGGGGACAUCAUGGCGGCCUUCCACCAGUUCUACCAUCUCGCCAGGGGCAAUUUCUAG
rnacentral:rRNA from 1 species